rnacentral:rRNA from 1 species
CUUCUGGAUUGGAUGAGAAGUCGGGCCUGCCCACUGAAGAAAAUUAAAGGGCCGCGGUAUUUUGACUGUGCAAAGGUAGCAUAAUCAUUAGUCUUUUAAUUGAGGACUGGAAUGAAUGGUUUGACGAAAUAAUAACUGUCUUAGUUUGGUUAAUUGAAAUUUAUUUUUGAGUUAAAAAGCUCAAAUGAAAGUUGGGGACGAGAAGACCCUAUAGAUCUUUACGUAAUUAUUAAUUUUAAUGUUUAGAAUUUUUAAAGUAAUAUUAAAAAAUUAUGUUUUGUUGGGGUGACAUGAGAAUAGAAAAACUUCUUUUAAUGAAAACAAAAGUUAUUGGAUUUUUGAUCCUUUAUUAUGGAAGGAAGAUUAAGAUACCUUAGGGAUAACAGCGUAAUUUUAUUGGAAAGUUCAUAUUGAUAAUAAAGAUUGCGACCUCGAUGUUGGAUUAAGAUAAUAAUUGGGUGCAGAAGUUUAAUUAAUAAGUCUGUUC